rnacentral:rRNA from 1 species
AACAGGAUUAGAUACCCGGUAGUCCACGCCCUAAACGAUGUCAACUAGGUGUUGGGGACCUUGAGUUCUCGGUACCGGAGCUAACGCAUUAAGUUGACCGCCUGGGGAGUACGGCCGCAAGGUUGAAACUCAAAGAAAUUGACGGGGACCCGCACAAGCGGUGGAGCAUGUGGUUUAAUUCGAUGCAACGCGAAGAACCUUACCAGGCCUUGACAUCCAGAGAACAAAGCAGAGAUGCAUUGGUGCCUUCGGGAACUCUGAGACAGGUGUUGCAUGGCUGUCGUCAGCUCGUGUCGUGAGAUGUUGGGUUAAGUCCCGCAACGAGCGCAACCCUUAUCCUUACUUGCCAGCACUUCGGGUGGGAACUUUAAGGAGACUGCCGGUGACAAACCGGAGGAAGGUGGGGAUGACGUCAAGUCAUCAUGGNNC